rnacentral:rRNA from 1 species
AGUGAACGCUGGCGGUAUGCCUAACACAUGCAAGUCGAACGGCAGCACAGUAAGAGCUUGCUCUUACGGUUGGCGAGUGGCGGACGGGUGAGGAAUACAUCGGAAUCUACUUUUUCGUGGGGGAUAACGUAGGGAAACUUACGCUAAUACCGCAUACGACCUACGGGUGAAAGCAGAGGAUCUUCGGACCUUGCGCGAUUGAAUGAGCCGAUGUCGGAUUAGCUAGUUGGCGUGGUAAAGGCCCACCAAGGCGACGAUCCGUAGCUGGUCUGAGAGGAUGAUCAGCCACACUGGAACUGAGACACGGUCCAGACUCCUACGGGAGGCAGCAGUGGGGAAUAUUGGACAAUGGGCGCAAGCCUGAUCCAGCCAUACCGCGUGGGUGAAGAAGGCCUUCGGGUUGUAAAGCCCUUUUGUUGGGAAAGAAAAGCAGCAGGUUAAUACCCCGCUGUUCUGACGGUACCCAAAGAAUAAGCACCGGCUAACUUCGUG